UGGGGAAUAUUGCACAAUGGGCGCAAGCCUGAUGCAGCCAUGCCGCGUGUGUGAAGAAGGCCUUCGGGUUGUAAAGCACUUUCAGCGAGGAGGAAGGUGGUGAGCUUAAUACGCUCAUCAAUUGACGUUACUCGCAGAAGAAGCACCGGCUAACUCCGUGCCAGCAGCCGCGGUAAUACGGAGGGUGCAAGCGUUAAUCGGAAUUACUGGGCGUAAAGCGCACGCAGGCGGUUUGUUAAGUCAGAUGUGAAAUCCCCGGGCUCAACCUGGGAACUGCAUUUGAAACUGGCAAGCUAGAGUCUCGUAGAGGGGGGUAGAAUUCCAGGUGUAGCGGUGAAAUGCGUAGAGAUCUGGAGGAAUACCGGUGGCGAAGGCGGCCCCCUGGACGAAGACUGACGCUCAGGUGCGAAAGCGUGGGGCAGCAAACAUGAUUAGAUACCCUGGUAGUCCACGCUGUAAACGAUGUCGAUUUGGAGGUUGUGCCCUUGAGGCGUGGCUUCCGGAGCUAACGCGUUAAAUCGACCGCCUGGGGAGUACGGCCGCAAGGUUAAAACUCAAAUGAAUUGAC
rnacentral:rRNA from 1 species